rnacentral:lncRNA from 1 species
UUCUCUUUCUCUUUCUCUCCCACACACACCUACAACAUGAGAGCUUCUCUCUCUUUCUCUCAAACCCUCUACAUUUUCGCUUUAGGUAGGCUUAAAUUUUCAAACCAGUAGCACAUUAAUGGAUUAAGUAAACUAAAUAUUCCAUUGUUAGUGGUUAAGUCAAUUAUUUUUGUGAGUAAAUUUAAUAAUUUUUAAGCUUUCAUGAUUUCUAGGUCGGUUUUGCUGAAUUAUUGGAAUGAAUUCUGACAAACCAAUUUAGUUGCGUAAAUAUAAAUAUUUUCGAAAUAUGAAAGUAAUGUGCUAGUAUUACAAUUAGCCAACUAAAAUUACCUAAUCCAAUUUAGUUAGAUAAAUAUUGGGCCCAAAAUUAAGCUACUUACACCACAGCAAAUUUUCUUAGACUUGAAAGCUGAAAUGUGGUAAAUAUAUGUUGCUAAAUUACACUGCAGGGCCUUAAAUUAGAAAUUUAGAUGCAAUUCGCUAUCAAAUUUUAAUCUACCAUAUUUCCUAGGUUGGUUAAACUAUUAUAAUAUGACAGAUAACGACUUAAGGCAUACAAUUGCAGACAGUUGUGUAAUUAUUGAUAUUUUAUGUAAAAAAAUAAAAGUUAUGCAAAUCGCUCGUACGUUUUAUUUUUUCUACCCAAAAUUUGAAUUCCAUUGUAUGCUUAAUUAUUGAAGUUGUUUGGUUAAAUGGCGAAUUAUUAGCGAUGAUAUUAUCAGUUCAAAAAAAUCGAGUUUAUCUCUGAGUCCGAGUGCAGUGCAAACACAGAGACAUAAUGUUUUUUUUUUUAUUUAUCUGGUCAAGUUAGCAGUUCUGAGCAUGCAUCAUGUAGGUUCUUGAAGUCUAAGUUCAUAAUUGAAUUCAAACCCGCACGGCUACUGCAAACAUGGCAUCCAAUUUCUAUCCCAACUAUGCCGAUCUAGAAAUUUUUUCUUUCAAAUAAGAUCACUCUAUAAUUUACUGCACAAAUUCAAUUUGAUGAUAAGAAAGAAAGCAAAAGGACAAGGAAUAUUCUAUGUACUAUGGGAAAUUUUGUAAGAGAAAAGUUUAUCUUGUGUGUGAGAUAUUAUUUUUAUUGGACUUAGAGAAGUAAAAGGCAAUUUAGAAAUGAUUCACGGUGAAAUUGGAAUGAAAACAGGAGAUUUAGAAUUUUCUGUAAGGAACGGAGCUUUUUUUUAGCAGAAAAUUCAGUGUCAGAAAAUUUGAAAAUUUGAGAGUAUGUCGGAAUUAUUUUUCUGAGGCUAGAUUAAAGUUUCAUGUCAUUCGGACAUUCGGAAAGUGGAAACGGAACAUAACAACAAUCUGAUAAAGAUUUUAGUUGGUAGACCUUUUGGUGGCCAAAAUUGAUUCAAAACUGAAAAAUUAAGAUCACGUUCUUCUGAUUGAUUUUAACUGAGCUUGACUUUCAAAUUUGAGCGUAAACGGACAUUCAGAAGGGCUCCAACUAAAAGUAUUAGAUUCUGAACUGGACUAAACUGUAAGUUGUAGUUGUUGGGGGGCCUAUAUGUAAGCCCACAUCAUCUCUCCCUUGUUUUGCCCAACACGUGUGAGAGUGGAGAAGAUUCUUUCUCUCUUUCUCUCCCACACACACCCACAACAUGAGAGCUUCUCUUUCUUUCUCUCAAACCCUCUACAUUUUCGGUUUAGGUAGGUUUGAAUUUUCAAACCAGCAGCACAUUAAUGGAUUAAGUAAACUAAAUAUUCUAUUGUUAGUGGUUAAGUAAAUUAUUUUUUUGAGUCAAUUUAAUAAUUUCUAAGCUUUCAUGAUUUCUAGGUCGGUUUUGCUGAAUUAUUGGAAUGAAUUCUGACAAACCAAUUU